GUGGGUUUGGGACACCGCCAAGUCCUUAGAGUUUUAAGCGUUUGUGCUCGUAGUUCUCGGGCGGAUGCUCAGGUAGCAUAGAGCAUCAAGAUUUAGGGCCAG
rnacentral:rRNA from 1 species